rnacentral:rRNA from 1 species
GUGCCAGCAGCCGCGGUAAUACGGAGGGGGCUAGCGUUGUUCGGAAUUACUGGGCGUAAAGCGCACGUAGGCGGAUCAGAAAGUUGGGGGUGAAAUCCCGGGGCUCAACCUCGGAACUGCCUUCAAAACUAUUGGUCUUGAGUUCGAGAGAGGUGAGUGGAAUUCCGAGUGUAGAGGUGAAAUUCGUAGAUAUUCGGAGGAACACCAGUGGCGAAGGCGGCUCACUGGCUCGAUACUGACGCUGAGGUGCGAAAGCGUGGGGAGCAAACAGGAUUAGAUA